AUCAUCUUAGAUCUGCUGGUCAAGAUGAAGCCUGUUGGGGCAUUGUCUCUUAAAAUGCCUUCACGGUGUUCCCUGUUGGCCUCUUCCAUGCUGGAUGGUUUUGCGUGGCUGUUGGGUCAUCUCUUACAGUCGGCAUUUCGGAGUAAAUCAACCUGUUAACCCAAGUUUAAAACCACCUUAUUUGGCUUUGAUGUUGCUUUAUUAUGAGCAGGCUGACUUGGGAUGGCCCUCACUUACCAUCCUGCGUUUCAGACCUACCUUGAAUAUGAGGUUAAGAAUAAAACUUCACUUGAGACGCUUAGGCUAUCAGAAACUAUAUUGCUUAUAAGAAGAGCCCCCAAAAGCAGUUUUUUCCAGUCUUUGUAUAUAAAAUUCACUUAAAAUUGUUUUUAGUGAGACUAGAGGUGAUAUCCCAGUGUAUAAAAUCUGUCAGAAAUAAUUGAUAAACGUAUGAGAAGCUGACUGAAAAUUGAAGGAAAGAUACGGCAUUGCCAGGAUUCAUUUAAAUACAAGAGCUAUGCAUUUAGAUUGAUUUAUUUUUGUGCCAAUAGAUUCUGACAGAAAUAUAGUGAUAUAUAAUGUAUUGACUGUAAUGUCAACAUUAUUUUAAAGCUGACUCGAGGAAAAAUAUCUUGUUGUUAGUGCUGAAAUAUCAUGCUUUAUUCUGCUGAAGGGGGAAUGCCUACAGUCAAAUAACCUCUUUCUCAAGACCCUUUGUAAUGGCUCUUAAGAUGAGUGAGUAACAGCAGAGGUGACCUGUCUCAGGGCACUCUGUGUCCUGAAAUUGUUUUGGGACUUUCAGGGCAAUAGCAGAGGGACUGGGAGCAGCACGUCCUGUGGUGCUGAGGCUGUGGCUGUGCUGGCACAGCCCAGCUCUGCGCCCCGUGCCUUUGCCUUCUGUUUUGGAGUCUCUUAAACUUGCAUCCACACUACACAGCAGGUUGGCCCUUAGGCUGGCCCUUAGGUAGCUUUUAAUGCUAAUCACAGUUUUAUACCAUGCACUGUGCAUGUUGUAUUAUGUAAAACCAAUGGGUUACAGGUUGUCAAACUGACCCUAUUUGAAUUUUGCUUUAGGGUCUUUAAUCUUUUUUUUUUGACUUGUUUUGGAGCUAACCUUGCUAGAGGCGGAGGAACUACUAGAUGUUUCGGGGGGAAAGGGUAGAUAUUCAUUGACUGAACAGUCUAGUGCAAAAGGGAUUCACCUUUUCUCUUCACUGCUUCUGCUCUUUACCUGCUGUUCUGAAUUUUCCAGGUCAAGUCUCUGGAUGUUCAGUGAAGCAACGUGACCUUCAGGACCAGGCAGAUUGGUGUUGGCUGUGGCCAUUGGAAGUCAGUGGAAACCUCAGGCUCGCAGUGGGUCUACCUUUCUCAGUCCAGGCUUCCGUUGGUCCCCAGGAGGAAUGUGCCAGCCCACUUCUGACUUAGAUCCGCUGCCUCCAAAUCCUUCUGGUUUUGCUUUGUUUUAAAGCAAGCAAACAAUACAAAACAAAACCCAAGCCAAACAAACAAACAAACAAAAAACCCUGAAAAGUUUCUUUUCCAUUAAAACUGCUUUGCAGCACUCAGCUGGCUGGUGCCUUUGCAUUCAGUCAGCGUAGGUAGGAGAGCUUGGCUGCGCACAGAGCGGCGCUGCUGGCACAAGGGGGGCUACUGCACGCUGGGUUUGUGCCAUGGUCCUGCUGUAGCCCAUGAACCAUAACGGCAGAGAGAUGGAGUUAGCCUGAAGGCUUUUCUUCUACUUCUUAUAUUGUUAGCUUGCACUUAGUCUGCUUAAAUUAUGCCCAAGUGUACCACUUCAAUUUAAGUCUACCUUUGCAAAUUUUACAAGCUUUCAUCCCUUUUUACCCUUAGCAUCUUUCUAGUAACUUAUUCUGAGUGUGUAUAACGUGUGGAAGUGGUUGUGGCUCGUUGCUCAGUGUCACAGCCAAGAAGCAAAGCAGUGUCUGCAGUUUUGCUUGAAGCCUGCAGUUGAUGUACCCCCCUGGAAAAGCCCCUUAGACCCGUAACACUUAAUUUCUCCGCUUAGGUGGCCGCUGGGUGCAGAUGUGUUGAGCACCUGCAGCUCCAGGCGCGGUUGGCUUCAGCCCCCUGGCAGGGAAGGGCAGUUGCCAGGAGCCGAGCUCAACAGGACUCGCUGUGACAUUUCUAUUCACAUAUGAAUUGUUUUAAAAGCGUCAGAUGGAGAGCAAUAUACAUAGAUUUAUCCACUCGCACGAUGUAUUACACCUGACUGUUCCAUUUCCCCUGCUAUUGAGUGGUAGAUGGUGGAUUAGUACCUCGAGCCAACGAGAGAGGCUGCAUGGGAAUAUAAUGGGAUCUCACAUCAUUUUUAAUGAACCUGAAUUCUACUUCUUAGCUCUGUUAGGAGAAUAUCCAAAUACAAUGCGGCCUUGAAUUAACAGGCACCAUCAUGUCCCCCCAAAACAUGUAAGUAGUUUGCAAUGCAUUUCAGGCUUGCACCAGCGGGGUCAGGCUCAGGUGAAGGGCUUGCCGUUGAGUUUUCUCGAGUGACAAAUGAGCCGAAUGUGCUUGUAUGUAAAUCUCCUUCUUUCCCGAGGAUCCCCUCCGCACCGCCUCCACGCAGCUCAUCAGACGGAAUAUCGGAGCCCGUUUACUGAGCUGCUGGGUCCUUUCUGCAGCUGGCUGGAGGGAUCGUUUUGCAGUUUGUCCCUGAGGCACAGGAGGGAUGGUACCAACCCCCUUGCACCCGCUGCCCCGUUUUCCCCAUCAGUGUUAGCGAGGGGACAGCCGAACGCCACUUUUUGGGGGGGAAAACUUUCUUCUAUUUGCGCAUGUUGAUUUGAAAACUUGGUAAAAAGUUAUGCUAACAAGCUCGAGCCUUCUAGGAUUGCAGUACGAGGCAAACCUGUUGGUUAUGAAUAUGCGGGGAGGGGACAUGAAACACGCAAGGUGAAUUCUGCAAGAAGCCACUGAAACCUUGGGCUGGGGAGCACAGUGGAGCCCGUGGGCCCUCCCUUGCCCACUAGAAAGCACCUGCGGGCUGUUUUGUAUUUUCUUGCCCUUUCUUUGUGAGGUACGUGUGAUUUUUUUCUGCUCUCUUCAGCCCCCCACUCCCCUCUGGAGCUGCCCAUAAGGCGGCCACGUGUGAGCCAGCCUCGUGCUCGGCUUUGCUAACUGCAAAGGGCACUGAGGUAUUGCAUUGCAAACCACCGGCAACAAUUAGCCACAACCUAAUAAAGCAAUGUUUUGACACGCUGGGCAGCAAGCAUAAUUUUUGUGUGGUGGGAAACGUUUACAAUAGAAAAACUGUUGUUCUUUUUGCUCUGCACACUCGACAGAAGUAAAUCCGCUCGUCAGUUUUAACGGGGGCUUACUUACUAGCAGACUUUCUUCUGCCAUUCUCUCCCCUCCCACUCCUUGGCACCAUUAAAGAAGAGGCUAAAUAACGUCCACCUCUCCCCAAAUCGGUGGAUAUUGUCUUUGCCCCAGUGCCACCCACCCUAUCAGCCCAGCACCACGGCCCCGGCUCCUGCCUGUCCCCUGUCCGCAGGCAAGAGCUAUCGAUUAACUCACUGCUGUUAACUAAGCACAGGCAAGGUGGAAAAUGCUAGCUUUAUUUUAAUAAGUGUAUUUGAGUAAGUGCUUUUGCUAACACUUCUAUAUAUAUAUAUAUUUUUUUUUUUCUUACAAGGUUCUGUGAUACUGCAGAAUCUCCUGGGGUGGUUAAUACACUUUAAAAACAAAACUGAGCUGGGUAAUAGUACUUAAAAUAAUCCAAACACUGCUAUUUUACAUGUGAAGUUGCCUCUGGCUUUGUUUCAGUAUAAAUCUACCUGGCUAUUAAAUCUGCCGUGACUGAUGCGGUCCUUAUUUCUGAAGGAUGCAUUAAGGGAACUGUGAUUGAAAGAUGACAUAAAAAUUAUGUGGUGUUACUGCUGAGAUAUCUCUGAUUAUAGCUGCUUUUUACAUCUUCUGUAAAUUCCUGUGUUUGCAGUGUUAUUUCCCUGCAAGGGUUUGUAAGUAUUAAAUUAAUUUGGCGGCUUGAGGUUCUAAGAAACAGGAGAUAUUCGCGUGCCAAGAGAAACUGUAAACACAACCUUAUCUGAACUGCAUCUCCUCCUCAGAAUCCUUGUCCCUGCAGUAGGUGAGUAGCUCGAGGAAAGGACCCAAUUCAGGAUGUGGUUGUGGGUCUGCUGACUGAUUGCAAGAGGAGGUGUUACAGCAGAAAUGGAUUUGCUUUACUUGGAGUUAAUUUUUCCUUCUGUGGUUUCCCUGAACGCCUAGGGUUUAUCCAUAGGGCGUUGCAGAAUAUACAUCUAUGUGUGUCUACACGUGCACACGCCUUGUUGGGCAGCUAAUUCUGCGGGGUCUGCCUUUCCUCUGAUGGUUAGGACGUGGAGUGGCACCAGGAGGAUUUUUUAGUUUGAAGAUGCAGGUGAUGGAGGUCACUCAGGGGUUUAUAAAUGGUUUUCUGAUGAACUCCGGGACUGCUGCAGCCUGUUUCAGAAGGGUGACAUCAAGUAAGAGGUGAAGGACGGAACUGUGUAAUUGAAAAAUAAAGCGAACACAGCAUCUGGUUUGCUUUCUGCUGCAGCAUGAGACUUCACCUGUACCUUGCUAAAUAGCCCUUAAGAGAGAUUAUCAUUAAAAUCUGGCAGUGACUCAACUGGAGUACAUCUGUGCAGUGUGAAAUCAAAUCUUUAUUUGAGUGCAGAACACCUGGGUCAGCUGACUGCCUGGUUUGUGGAUUUAAAAAAAAAAAAAAAAAAAAGAAAAGGAAAAAAAAAAAGAGAAAUCUGCAAGAAACAGUGUUAAAUAAACCCUAUUUUUCAGUGCAAAGCUGGAAUGAUGAAGGUCACUGCAGCAAUUCCUCCUUGGGUGAGCGACCAGGAAGGAGCAGCGGCUGGGUCCCCAGCUCAGCCUCCUGCCACGGCUCCUGUUCGCCCUCGCACCCCUGGGAACCAGCUCAGGAAUUGCAGAAUCGUUGUAAUCCAGUUUUUCCCAUUGCUGGUGCAUGCAGAAAUACACCCCGGCUACAGAAAGCCCUUCCCAGGGCUGGGUGUCCACGGGCGUGAGCAAGGUGACUGAACCCCAACAAUUAACAAAUGAAUACAGCAAACAGGAUGCUUUUAAUGAGAUAUAGACCGCAGAAACAGAACAGAUUAUUGACGUGUUUGAGUAACAUGCAUUUUAUUGCCUUUGCACGUUUUAUUUAGGAGAAAUUCUUCUUGUAAUUAAGAAAUGAGCUGAUGACUGUGACUAUAAAUUGUUACAUGGCUGCAUCCAGCAUCUGUACUUAAAACAGUUCAAUGAAUUAUUAUUUUUAAUGAAGAAUUAUUGUUGGAUGAAGAACUCAAGUCAUUAUUUUUGCUGAUCAUCAUGCCAGAACUUGGGUAUUGGAGAUCAGCGUUUGCUUUUAAAAUGCCAAAGCUGCCAACAUCUGAACUGGGUGCCUACGGGAAGGGGAAUGUCCUUGGUGUGAAGGGCUUCACAGAGCGAUGCUGGGUGGGGUUGUGCCUCGUAGGGUUGGACACCAAAAUCACACCCGCGGGCUCCUCUGGCCCGUCAGAGCUAAAUGGGCAAGUGCAAAGGGAGAACAGUGACUGCUGGCAAAGAGCUAUCCGUAAUAAUCCUUGCAGUGAUCUCUUCUUGGGGUCUAUCUCGUGUCUUUGCCUUUCUCCUAUUCUUCACGUUCAGUGA